UUACUUCCGGCGCGGGCAGAGCGCCGCUUCCGGCGCGGUGCCGGCGCUAUGGCGGGCCGCGUCUCGGUGUUCCCGUCCCCGCAGGCGCUGGGCCGGGCGCUGGCGCAGCUGGUGGCCGAGCGGGCGGCGGCGGCGGCGGCGGCGGGCGGGCGCUUCUCGGUGGCGCUGUCGGGCGGGAGCCUGGUGGGGUUGUUGUCCCGGGAUCUCCCCGCCGCCGUUUCCGCCGCCGGUGCCGCCGCCCCCGCGCGCUGGCUCGUGGCGUUUUGUGACGAGCGCCUCGUGCCGCUCGAGCACCCGGAGAGCACGUGCGGGGCCUACCAGGCGCAGCUGCUGCCGCGGCUGCCGGGCCCGGGCCCGCGCGUCCUGAGCGUCACCCCCGGGCUGCGCCCCGACGCCGCCGCCGAUGACUACGCGGAGCAGCUGCGGCAGGCGUUCCCGGGCCAGGACGUGCCGGUUUUUGACCUGGUGCUGCUGGGCGUGGGGCCGGACGGACACACGGGCUCCCUGUUCCCGGGGCACCGGCUGCUGCGGGAGACGCAGAAAAUCGUCGCCGCCAUCACCGACUCGCCGAAGCCGCCGCCGGCGCGGGUGACGCUGACGCUGCCGGUGCUGAACGCGGCGCGCGCCGUGGUGUUCGUGGCCACGGGGGCGGGCAAAGCCGACGUCCUGAAGCGUGUUCUGGAGGGGGGGCGGGAGCAGGACGAGCCCCUCCCGGCCGCGCUGGUGCGGCCGCGCUCGGGGCAGCUCCGGUGGUUCCUGGACGCGGCGGCGGCCGCGGCGCUGACGGUGCCGGUGGAGAAACACGACGGGGACGGUGAUGGUGAUGGUGAUGGUGACGGUGACGUUCGCCCCGUGGCUUGAAACGCUCGUGUUUAACCGGUUCUGGACCAAAUGGGGCUUCGCCGAGCGCGAGCUCCCGCCUGGCGGUUCCUGCGGUGACAAACGGGUGGCCACCGAUCACAGCGUGGACAACACGACCGCGAUGCUGCGGGAGUGGCUGGGCCGGGUGCGGGGCCUUUACCACCGCGUGGAGUGGCGGCCGCAGGAGGAGCCGCG